UACAGAGGGUGCGAGCGUUAAUCGGAAUUACUGGGCGUAAAGCGCGCGUAGGCGGCUUUGCAAGUCGGGUGUGAAAUCCCCAGGCUUAACCUGGGAACUGCAUUCGAGACUGCAUUGCUAGAGUAUGGGAGAGGGAAGUGGAAUUUCCGGUGUAGCGGUGAAAUGCGUAGAUAUCGGGAGGAACACCUGUGGCGAAGGCGGCCCCCUGGUUGGAUACUGACGCUGAUACGCGAAAGCGUGGGGAGCAAACAGG
rnacentral:rRNA from 1 species